GACGAACGCUGGCGGCGUGCCUAACACAUGCAAGUCGAGCGAGUGAAUCUCCUUCGGGAGUGAAGCUAGCGGCGGACGGGUGAGUAACACGUGGGCAACCUGCCUCAUAGAGGGGAAUAGCCUUUCGAAAGGAAGAUUAAUACCGCAUAAGAUUGUAGCUUCGCAUGAAGUAGCAAUUAAAGGAGCAAUCCGCUAUGAGAUGGGCCCGCGGCGCAUUAGCUAGUUGGUGAGGUAACGGCGCACCAAGGCGAGGAUGCGUAGCCGACCUGAGAGGGUGAUCGGCCACAUUGGGACUGAGACACGGCCCAGACUCCUACGGGAGGCAGCAGUGGGGAAUAUUGCACAAUGGGGGAAACCCUGAUGCAGCAACGCCGCGUGAGUGAUGACGGCCUUCGGGUUGUAAAGCUCUGUCUUCAGGGGCGAUAAUGACGGUACCUGAGGAGGAAGCCACGGCUAACUACGUGCCAGCCGCCGCGGUAAUAC
rnacentral:rRNA from 1 species